GAGGACGGACGGAGGCUCGGGCUCGGCCGUCGACGUCGGGCGGGCGCCGGGGCGCGGGUGGCGCGCGUGCCAGGGCAAACCGACCGCUACCUCCCCACACGUACGCGCAGGGAAAUUAAAGCGCGCACGCGCGGCCUGCUGGUGAUCGGCCGAGGGGAUGAGGCGACGGCGACGCCGAGAAAGCCGUCGCGGUCGUCGACGGGUAAUAUCGUUAUCGAUCUAAUGGCGUCGCGCCGCCAACCUCCUGCCGCGCCGUUGAUGCGAUGCCAUCUACGGACGCGCAGCCCGGCCGCGGGAAUGCCGUCGAAGCGACGCCGGUACGUUUCCGGAAGGGCCGGAGAAGGAUCGGCCCCGGGACGAGCGCGAGGGCGACGACGUGUCGGACAGGCGCGGUGGAUAAGAAUCACAAGAAUCAACGAGUGGUUGGGUAGUUAAGAGGAUGGUGUCUGACCAUUUUUUGGUUUACAAAUUGAGGUGGUGCCAUGAGUGAAGCUCGAUGUCGCAUAUGCACCUCCGAAGAACCAUCAGAGCCAGGCUAACACUGAUGCAUCGGCUAGGAAGUCACUGAUGGGAGCAAGAAGAUGUUGGCGAUAACAAUUUCGAAAAUAGAUCGUUGUCCCGAAGAAAAGGGUUGGACGACACCUCAAAUCUGACCAGAUAGAUCCGAUGAGACAUAACCUCAUAAGCUCCCCGACGACACCAAAAUUGGCCGAACAUUGUCGACCGAAGGAGUUAGAUGACCAAGACGGGAAGCAACAUCGUCUACUCUGGCGAAAUACAUUUGAUCGAAGACCAUCUUUCACGUGAAGACACUAGCAGAUCCACCACUCCACAAGAGCGACAACCAAACGAUCCCCCGCCCUCUCUGUGCCACUAUUUCAGAACGUUUGGAUACCUCGAAGGGGUCGUCUACUUUGGCUCUUGAUCGGCAGAUUGUCUCGGAGAAAUUCUCGCGCCUGAGAUGUAUAACCUAGCUGUGGGGAUAAAAAAGAUCUCUCAACUAAUGGGCAACUAGUUGAAGAGAUCAAAGUUUUACUUGGGUCUUUUGAGGAGUUUAAGGUUGCUUGGGUGCGACGGUCGGCUGAUAAAGUCGCACAUAUUCUAGCUAGGGAG